rnacentral:lncRNA from 1 species
AAUGGUGGGGCAAACUUUGGAGCAGGCUAUCACGGUUGGAACAAUCAGUGCUGAAGGAGUUGAAGAGGAUGGGCAAGCCACGGCUUCUCCUUCUGGAAACGGAGAUCAUCUCCAAAGAAGACCAUCAUUUUCUACUAUGGACAAUGUGGAUGCUAGUUCUCUCCCAUUCACAGGUGUGGAAAUGGCCUGUAGCCUGCAGGAGCCUGAGGAGAAGAGAGGAGCUAGCAGCCCCAGUCAAGUCUAGCGAAGUGCAUCUUGGCCUGCAGUGAUGGCUGUUUCCCCCAGAAAGGUCUCAACACGUGGCAGUAGGCAGCAGAAUUAAUUCCCUGUGCCUCCUGCAAUUCCCUGAGCCUCCCUUUCUCAAAACGCCAGCUUUCUCACAAGGAUAGCCUGAGACAUACGGAAGUGGGAAUGAUGUUCUGUUCUCAGGUGAAGUGUUUGUGCAUAUGUGUGUGUCGGGGGAGAGGAAGGUAAGCAAAACCAGUUGUUCUCAGAUGACUUGCAGCACCUGAGCAUGUCCUUUAUUUUAUCUUUUUUUUAAAAAAAAUACUUAAUAGCAUUUUCACUUCCUAGUUUCUCCAUUAUGUUGAAGUUGAAUAGUCUUUGGUAGGUCUUGUCUUACUUUUCAAGAACAUUAUGGGAAUUCUGCAAAAAGAUAGCUACAUGCAAAGCUAUCAUUUCUAUUGUUACAAAAAUAUGUGACACACUUACCUUAUGCUAUCAAAGAUGAAUGCUAUCCUCCACAUAUCCUUUAAAUGGGCUUCACAAGAAGAGGAUGGUCCCAUUUCUGAACAUUGCCUUGUCAAUGGAUGAGGAGGUUUGCACUCAGUCAAACUGGUUAAGCUAGAAUCAUAUUUCCCUAAAUCUCUUGUCCUGUUUAUUUCCAGGUGAUGAUUGGCCAAUAAAAUAAAUUUAGACGUGAUUUGGAUAGUAAAAAUGAAGCCACAGUCACUGAUCACUGAAGAUCAUUGUGGGUACAGGUGGGAGCUAAGAGCUAGCAAGGUAUCAGUGGGAUUUACAAGUCUUUUCUUUAUUCUUUAUCCUGCUCUUCUUGUCAAUUGCCAGAUUUCCUGACCAACAAAGGGCCCAGGCCGACUGCCACAAGUCUGAAUGCAGACCUGCAGAAGCAGCAGCAACUCAAAAGGACAGCAUUCCACAGACCUUCCCUGCACUGCCCUUCAUAGCCCACUCUGCAGCUGGACCUGCCUACUCGCCAUACACCCUGAAAGCUCCCACUUAUCCACCUAACCUCAACUUGCUCUAGUGUUCGAGGAGGGCUGAGUGGUGGUUUUCCUCGGGCCUUCCAACACUUGCCCUUCUCCCCCAAGUAUUACAAGCCCUCAUUCUAAAUAUAUCCCUGAUUUCAUAAUACUAAUAGAAGUGCUGCUUCUCUGAUUAAA